UGGCCCGUAGCCAAGAAGAAAGGCCAUGGAUUUUGACUCCAUGAUCGCCGGUGCAAGUCCGACCGGGCUAA
rfam:Firmicutes bacterium CAG:791 genomic scaffold, scf140